UGGAAGAAAGCUGGAAUUCAAAUCCCAGCGGUUCCUUGACUCCCUCCAUCCGCCAAAACCUUCCUGUGGAGCCACAGGCAGAUGUGAGCUCAGUAUGAAAGAGGACAGAAGAUGCCUGACUCAGCACCUGAGGUCCCUCUCCGACAUCUGGAGUCGGAAGUCAGGCCUCUCAAAGAAGAUCCUUAAUAGCCUCACCAUGUGGCAGGCACUGUUUGGGGUAUCUCGAGAGCGACAGAUACCUGUUUUUUGACCUUGUGGGGGCAGUGUCACUGAUUCAGCAGAGGAGCUAGAUCCAGGUGCAGGAUGCCUGUUCAAGGUCUGUGCAGAACCGUGGACGCAAGGAGGGGAGGCUGCAGCCAGGGCACCUGCUGUGGGCUGUUGUCAUUGUUUGCGUUGGAACAGGGAGAGGGGGGAACCCAGCUUAACUCUUCCGGAAACGUUUUGAAAAUUCUACCUUGCCUCUUUCACCAGCACAGCCACAGGUGCAUCACAGAAUGUGGACUAAGAACAGCCGUCCUGGCCUUCCUGCAGCAACGUGGUGGUGGCAUUCUUUCCAGCCGGGGAAGGACAUUUUCAAAAGUAGAGAAUUCACCUGCGAUCCCGUUAUGCUUAGGUUUCUCUGUUUUGUCCGCUUUCCAUCUCAGAUAUUCUCCACGUAUGUAUUUUUUACACAAUGGUUUCAGAGGCUUAUGUGUAAUCAGGAUGUGCACAGUUUGAGUCUGCUUUUCUCACUUAGUGCAAAUGCGCACUUUGCUAAGUUGCUUAAUUUUCUAAUCCCUUAAUUUUGGAUAUUUAGGUGGUUGGUAGUAUUUUUUUCUUUUCUUUUUUUUUUUUUUUGCUGUUACAGAAAUUUGUCCUAAAUGCACUACAACCUUUUCUCACUGUUUUCAGGGCAUAACUACCCUCGUGAUGGUCAAAGGCUAUGAAAAUUUUCAUAGUUUGAUACAAAUGCUUGCACUGAGCAGUAAUUAUCAGGCACUGAAGGAAGUCAGAGGUUCAGUGCAAUCUGGUUAGAGAUAUUCAUCAGUAAAAAUGUAUUUUUCCACUUCGCUAGAUUAUGAGAUGAAAUGGUACCUCAUUUUAAUUUACAUUUCCUUGAAAACAGUAAGAUCGGAAAUCUUUCCAAAUGUAAUUCCUCUUAUGUAAACUGCCUAAUUAAUAUAGCCUUCAGAUAUUGAGCUAUUAUUUUAUAUUUCUUUUUUUUUUUUNUUUUGUCUUUUAGGGCCUCACCCACAGCAUAUGGACAUUCCCAGGCUAGGGGUCUAAUUGGAGCUGUAGCCGCUGGCCUACACCACAGCCACAGCAACGUGGGAUCCGAGCUGUGUCUGCGACCUACACCGCAGCCCACAGCAAUGCCGGAUCCUUAACCCACUGAGUGAGGCCAGGGAUCGAACCCGAGUCCUCAUGGAUGCUAAUUGGGUUUGCUGAGCCACGACGGGAACUCCUAUUUUAUAUUUCUUAUUAAUUUGUAUGAACGAUUCAUCCUUGUCACAAUUGCUUCAAAUAUUUUUCCACUCUUCUAGCUAUUUUUAAUUUUUGGUUUUACAUUUUCAUAGUCAAAUUUGUUGGUCCUAGCAAGUUUCAGGGUUUAGAAUGUUACUUUCUUCUUUCUAAAAACAUCCAAUUCUAUUCUUGUUAAAAUUCUGUAUCCUCUUUUUAAGUCCACCUAGAGUGUAAUCUUUUUAUUUAUUUAUUAAAAAAAUUUUUUUUUGUCUUU
rnacentral:lncRNA from 1 species